rnacentral:tRNA from 1 species
GGAGGGGUCGGAUAGUGGUUUAUUCCGCACGCUUGGAAAGCGUGUGCCUUCGGGCAUCGUGGGUUCGAAUCCCACCCCCUCCGCCA